rnacentral:rRNA from 1 species
GACGAACGCUGGCGGCGUGCUUCAUACAUGCAAGUCGAACGAGAAGCUGACUUCGGUCAGUGGAAAGUGGCGGGCGGGUGAGUAAUAUGUAGGAAAUCUGCCUUUAGGAGGGGGACAACAGAGGGAAACUUCUGCUAAUACCCCAUAUGAACGUAGCUGAGAUGCUAUUCUUGAAAACUCCGGUGCCUAAAGAUGAGCCUGCAUCUGAUUAGCUAGUUGGUAGUGUAAUGGACUACCAAGGCGACGAUCAGUAGCUGGUUUGAGAGGAUGAUCAGCCACAAUGGGACUGAGACACGGCACAUACUCCUACGGGAGGCAGCAGUAGGGAAUUUUGCGGAAUGGGCGAAAGCCUGACGCAGCAACGCCGCGUGAACGAUUAAGCCCUUCGGGGUGUAAAGUUCUGUCAGUGGGGACGAAACUUGACGGUACCCACAGAGGAAGCACCGGCUAACUCCGUG